rnacentral:rRNA from 1 species
CGGGUGAGUAACACGUGGGUGACCUGCCCUCCACUCUGGGAUAAGCCCGGGAAACUGGGUCUAAUACCGGAUAGGACCUCUCAACGCAUGUUGGGUGGUGGAAAGUUUUUUCGGUGGGGGAUGGGCCCGCGGCCUAUCAGCUUGUUGGUGGGGUGAUGGCCUACCAAGGCGGUGACGGGUAGCCGGCCUGAGAGGGCGACCGGCCACACUGGGACUGAGACACAGCACAGACUCAUACGGGAGGCAGCAGUGGGGAAUAUUGCGCAAUGGGCGGAAGCCUGACGCAGCGACGCCGCGUGGGGGAUGACGGCCUUCGGGUUGUAAACCUCUUUCGCCAGGGACGAAGCUUUUGUGACGGUACCUGGAGAAGAAGCACCGGCCAACUACGUGCCAGCAGCCGCGGUAACACGUAGGGUGCGAGCGUUGUCCGGAAUUAUUGGGCGUAAAGAGCUCGUAGGCGGUGUGUCGCGUCGGCCGUGAAAACUUGGGGCUUAACUCUGAGCGUGCGACGAUACGGGCAUCACUUGAGUUCGGCAGGGGAGACUGGAAUUCCUGGGUGUAGCGUGAAAUGCGCAGAUAUCAGGAGGAACGCCGGUGGCGAAGGCGGCUCUCUGGGCCCGAUACUGACGCUGAGGAGCGAAAGCGGGGGAGCGAACAGGAUUAGAUACCCUGGUAGUCCACGCGGAGACGUUGGGCGCUAGGUGUGGGACCAUUCCACGGAUUCUGCACAGCAGCUAACGCAUUAGCGGCCCGCUGGGGAGUACGGACAGCAAAGAAUAAAACUCAAGGAAUUGGACGGGGGCCCGCA